GACGAACGCUGGCGGCGUGCUUAACACAUGCAAGUCGAACGGAAAGGCCCUGCUUUUGUGGGGUGCUCGAGUGGCGCACGGGUGAGUAACACGUGAGUAACCUGCCCUUGUCUUUGGGAUAACUUCAGGAAACUGGGGCUAAUACCGGAUAGGAGCUCCUGCUGCAUGGUGGGGGUUGGAAAGUUUCGGCGGUUGGGGAUGGACUCGCGGCUUAUCAGCUUGUUGGUGGGGUAGUGGCUUACCAAGGCUUUGACGGGUAGCCGGCCUGAGAGGGUGACCGGCCACAUUGGGACUGAGAUACGGCCCAGACUCCUACGGGAGGCAGCAGUGGGGAAUAUUACACAAUGGGCGGAAGCCUGAUGCAGCAACGCCGCGUGCGGGAUGACGGCCUUCGGGUUGUAAACCGCUUUCGCCUGUGACGAAGCGUGAGUGACGGUAAUGGGUAAAGAAGCACCGGCUAACUACGUG
rnacentral:rRNA from 1 species